rnacentral:rRNA from 1 species
AUUGAACGCUGGCGGAAUGCUUUACACAUGCAAGUCGAACGGCAGCACGGGGGCAACCCUGGUGGCGAGUGGCGAACGGGUGAGUAAUACAUCGGAACGUGCCCAGUCGUGGGGGAUAACGUAGCGAAAGUUACGCUAAUACCGCCUACGAUCUACGGAUGAAAGCGGGGGACCGUAAGGCCUCGCGCGAGUGGAGCGGCCGAUGUCAGAUUAGGUAGUUGGUGAGGUAAAGGCUCACCAAGCCGACGAUCUGUAGCUGGUCUGAGAGGACGACCAGCCACACUGGGACUGAGACACGGCCCAGACUCCUACGGGAGGCAGCAGUGGGGAAUUUUGGACAAUGGGCGCAAGCCUGAUCCAGCCAUUCCGCGUGCAGGACGAAGGCCUUCGGGUUGUAAACUGCUUUUGUACGGAACGAAAAGGCUCUGGUUAAUACCUGGGGCUCAUGACGGUACCGUAAGAAUAAGCACCGGCUAACUACGUGCCAGCCGCCGCAGUAA